rnacentral:rRNA from 4 species
UAACACUAACUGGAGGACCGAACCGACUAAUGUUGAAAAAUUAGCGGAUGACCUGUGGCUGGGGGUGAAAGGCCAAUCAAACCGGGAGAUAGCUGGUUCUCCCCGAAAGCUAUUUAGGUAGCGCCUCGUGAAUUCAUCUCCGGGGGUAGAGCACUGUUUCGGCUAGGGGGCCAUCCCGGCUUACCAACCCGAUGCAAACUGCGAAUACCGGAGAAUGUUAUCACGGGAGACACACGGCGGGUGCUAACGUCCGUCGUGAAGAGGGAAACAACCCAGACCGCCAGCUAAGGUCCCAAAGUCAUGGUUAAGUGGGAAACGAUGUGGGAAGGCCCAGACAGCCAGGAUGUUGGCUUAGAAGCAGCCAUCAUUUAAAGAAAGCGUAAUAGCUCACUGGUCGAGUCGGCCUGCGCGGAAGAUGUAACGGGGCUAAACCAUG